rnacentral:rRNA from 1 species
AUUGAACGCUGGCGGCAGGCCUAACACAUGCAAGUCGAGCGAGCGGCGGACGGGUGAGUAAUAUCUGGGAAACUGCCUGAUGGCGGGGGAUAAAUACUGGAAACGGUAGCUAAUACCGCAUACCCUCAGAUGUGCCCAGAUAGGAGUAGCGAGUAGGUGGGGUAAUGGCUCACCUAGGCGACGAUCCCUAGCUGGUCUGAGAGGAGGACCAGCCAAACUGGAACUGAGACACGGUCCAGACUCCUACGGGAGGCAGCAGUGGGGAAUAUUGCACAAUGGGCGCAAGCCUGAUGCAGCCAUGCCGCGUGUGUGAAGAAGGCCUUCGGGUUGUAAAGCACUUUCAGCGGGGAGGCGUUACCCGCAGAAGAAGCACCGGCUAACUCCGUGCCAGCCGCCGCGGUAAUUC